ACGGGAGGCAGCAGUAGGGAAUCUUCCGCAAUGGGCGAAAGCCUGACGGAGCAAUGCCGCGUGAGUGAAGAAGGCCUUCGGGUCGUAAAACUCUGUUAUAAGAGAAGAACAAAUUGUAGAGUAACUGCUACAGUCUUGACGGUAUCUUAUCAGAAAGCCACGGCUAACUACGUGCCAGCAGCCGCGGUAAUACGUAGGUGGCAAGCGUUGUCCGGAUUUAUUGGGCGUAAAGGGAGCGCAGGUGGUUUCUUAAGUCUGAUGUGAAAGCCCACGGCUUAACCGUGGAGGGUCAUUGGAAACUGGGAAACUUGAGUACAGAAGAGGAAUGUGGAACUCCAUGUGUAGCGGUGGAAUGCGUAGAUAUAUGGAAGAACACCAGUGGCGAAGGCGACAUUCUGGUCUGUUACUGACACUGAGGCUCGAAAGCGUGGGGAGC
rnacentral:rRNA from 1 species